UGCCUUUUUGUAUGAAAUUUU
rnacentral:piRNA from 1 species